AAGUCCCGAAGGGCAAUUGUGUC
rnacentral:siRNA from 1 species